rnacentral:lncRNA from 1 species
CGGCUGCCGAAGAUGGCGGAGGGGCAGGUUCUAGUAUUGGAUGGCCAGGGCCAUCUUCUGGGCCACCUGGCGGCCAUUGUGGCCAAGCAGGUACUGCUGGCCGGAAGGUGGUGGUUGUACGCUGUGAGGGCAUCAACAUUUCUGGAAACUUCUACAGAAACAAGUUAAAGUAUCUGGCCUUUCUCCGAAAGUGGAUGAACACCAACCC